rnacentral:rRNA from 1 species
GAUGAACGCUGGCGGCGUGCCUAAUACAUGCAAGUCGAGCGAACAGACGAGGAGCUUUCUCCUCUGACGUUAGCGGCGGACGGACGAGUAACAAGUGCAUAACCUACCUAUAAGACUGGGAUAACUUCGGGAUACCGGAGCUACUACAGGAUAAUAUAUUGAACCUCAUGGUUCCAUAUUAAAAUUCAGUUUUUCGCUCACUUAUAGAUGGAUCCGCGCGGCAUUAUCUAGGUGGUAAGGUAACGGCUUACCAACGCGACGCUGCGUAGCCGGUCUGAGAGGGGGAUCAGCCACCCUAGAACUGAGCCGCGGUCCAGACUCCUCUGGGAGGCAGCAGUGGAGAAUCUUACGCAAUGGGCGGAAGCAUGACGUGAAAAAGCCGCGUGGGUGAUGAAGGUCUGCGGAUCUGAAAAGUAUGCUAUUAGGAAGGAACAAAUGUGUAAGUAACUAUGCACGUAUUGACGGUACCUAAUCAGAAAGCCACGGCUAACUACGUG